CUAGAUUCUUACCUACAUGUCCUACCCAUUGAGAAGGAAGGGUCUCUGCUCCAUUGGGAUACCAUAUUCUGUCUACCUUGGUACUGCAACCAGUAACUAUGGCCUCCGUUUCCUUGUGACUCCAAUGCUCCUCUCUACCCUGUAACUGAGAUCCUGGGAAUAGAUCACCUGCUCCCUUUCAACCUCACAUGUGAGAUGGUGAAUGGACUCCACUGAAUCCUCUGUGUUUUGUAGAGGCCAUAAAGACUGAUUAACCAUGACUCAGAUGAGGGAAAAAGAAUAUACUGCUGGUGCUACCUUAAAUUGAUGACCCGGUCAAUUAAUGUUAAAUUACAAUGUAGCUCAUGGAGAAAGACUUGUAAUGCUUAUUUCAUGUCAAAUAGAUUCAUCCUAAUUAAUGUUAUGACUGUGACUUUUGGGGGAAAUUAAUCAUUUCUUAUUUCAUCCUUUAUUUCAGGGGUGCUUGUAGCACAGAAAAUUUCCAUAUUUUUGACAAUUUUUCAUAAGGUAACAUGUAGAUAAACAUACUGAAAUGGUUCCUAGAGUAGUCCAUGAAUCCAGGUAGUUGUAGGGAAUCUAAUGCUUUUUUUUACUCUUUGUGAAAUAACUGGCUGUUUUGCAGAUCCAUUUCCUAUGUUACACAAACAAAGAAAAUCUUGGUUUGAUCCAGUCUUGAUUCUGGAGAACAUAUAAUAAAA